GCUUAACCCUCAAAUGCAAAAAAAAAAAAGACAAAAAAAUGGGACGCAGAGGAAAAUUCAAGAGAACAAAUGGUUUGCAGAGGAAUUUUGAGUGCUUGUCUUCAGUCCCUCACACCUCACACAGAAUAAACGAGCAACCAUCAGCAAUGAGUGUAUUUAGAAGAAGUUCGCCAUUCCUCAUCAGAGUGAAUAUUUCUGUAUGUCACCUCAAAACACAGGAUUUCUACAGAUAGAGUAGAUAAAAGUUUAUUUUCACACGGAGGACGCUAAGGCACAAAGCAAGAGGCAAAUACUUGGAGGCAUUGUGGCUUGAGUGUGCCAGAUGUCAGCCAUGUGGUAGAAAAGAUGAUACGCAGCCUGCUGUUCACUGCAUGGUUCUGAAUCAAUGCUCAGACCGAUGGGGAGCUGAUGAACUAGUCCUCGGAUUUCCUGCACUUCCAGAUCUUCAUCUGAAAGCGAUGGGUAAGACAUCUCCUCCAGAACAAAAAGGGCAAAAAUAGAAAGUACAUAUGAUAUAAAACCGAAAGCACACAUACUAGUCAGACCAGUAAAGUUUCCGUUUGCUAGAUCCAAAUGUGUUAAGUGCAUCAAGAAAGUUCAAAAUGCAUUGUCUUCAAAACGGAAGACUC